rnacentral:tRNA from 1 species
AAGGGUGUAGCUCAGUGGUAGACUGCCUGCCUGACACACAGGAGGCCUGGGUUCAAUCCCUAGCACCCUCA